rfam:Helianthus annuus linkage group 1, whole genome shotgun sequence.
AUGCAAUGAAGAAACCGCGCUUAUUGUGAUGUAGGGUCAUCACAGCUGUUCGAUUAUUCGAAACAUUUAAAGCGCAUCUGAGCAU